GCCGCAGCCGGCGCAUGCGCGGGACGCGCUUGGCGGUGAAAGACGCUUCCUCAGCCCGCGCGGGAGACCGAGAAAUAGUAGCAGAAAAAUCUUUUCUUGCUGCUCUCCUAGAAUCUACCAACCAGAGAUUCUAAUGUGAUAUGUUUGGAAUGGAGUUAUCGACCUGCAUUUUUAAUAGGCAUCCUCCAGAAUGUUGGGGAAAAUGGAAGGAGAAAAAAAAAACAAUGCUAAAAAGCCUGGAGAUGACCACAUAUGAAAGGACCAUGUGUGCAAAGGACUGCUGGAAAAUGAAUCGGGUAGGAACCAGGAAAUAUGGUGUUGAGUUGGAUUGACCUUCCUUUGGAGAAUCUACCAGACACCUCUUAUAUUUUCUGGGAGGAGUCCCCUUUUUACUCCAGCCAUUGCUGGGGUUGCCAGUUACAUGUAGGUAUAACUUGACAAUGCCUCACUUUACAUUCACUGUUUCUCACUUUCUUCCCCAGAGUUUCUCCCUUCACUAAGUAGGAUACCUGUAGAAAUGAAUUCUGGAGCAUAUGCAAACCUGCAGAUGUGAGGGCAAUCCUUUGUCAAUGGGGUCUGGGAACUGGAAGAUAAAUGUUUCUCUCUUUCAGCUCCUGGGUGAAUAAUUCUGAGAUGUAUCCUUUCUUGUCCUCUUAGAGGAUCCCAGAGGAAUCAAGCCUCAGUUGCCCACAGUGGUGAGGAGCUAGAUUGGGUUGUGCUUCCCUCCUCCUUUUUUUAUUCUUCCCAGUCUCCCCCCGCAGCUCUUUGGGAUCAUACCUCAAAAUAAAGCACCUGUACACCGGACUUUGUCAUAGGUUCUGCUUUUGUGGGGAGCCUAGGCUAAGACAGGAGUCAAACAGAAGACAUUUUUUGGAAAACUUUUGUGUUAAUUGCAACUUUCUAUAAAUACACUUACCCUGAGAUGCUCUCUCCUUGCUGAAAGACCUCCAUUAGUUCUUUAUGGGCUGAGUAAUAAAGACCUAGAUCCUUAAAGCAAGACACUUUACACUGUCACCCUGUCUACCUCUUGAACAACUAUAAACCAGUGCUUUAAUUUCUCCCAAAUAUACGAUUCACAUUUUUGCCUUGUGUGUGUGUUUCUCCCAAGGAUUAACUCAUAUAUCCUCCUGGAAGCCUUCCUCAACAAUUUAGCAUGUAACAUUCCUGCCUCCUAUGCACCCUUGCUACCCUUUUUGUUUGGAUUGCUUAUUUGGUAUGUAUGCCAUGUUGUCACAAAUUAUUAUUUAUCUCUUUAUUUAUAUGUUCUGACUAAACUUCAUUAUAAUCAUCUGUGGGAAUAGAUUGUAUCUUAUAAUUCAGUAUCUCCAGCGGUACCUCACACAAUGCCCUGAACAAUAAAUGCUACCCGUGCUGAGACUGACAUUGUGGUGACAUGAUCUAAACCAGUGUUUAUCAAAAUGUAUUCAUGGGGUAUUAAUAGGCAUUAUAAGAACAAAAGUGUUUUAUGUUCAAUUAACUUGGGAAACCCUGGAAGACUUCUUUGAAUCUUUAAAUUAACAAACCUUUGUUGCAAAUCUCUAAGAGAAAAACACAAUAUGUAGUUUUUCCAAACUUGCUAAGCCAUAGACAUUUUUUUCGUGAAGCAUUUCCUUAGGCUAGUCUCCUGAAAGGCAUGUUUAAACUGUUUCUAAAUAUAUUGAUUGAUACACUACAUAGAAAUUCCUGGGAUCUAUGCAGAAUGAGGGUAUAGCAGGUAGAAGUAGCUCACAGAGAGAAAUAAUAUAUGGCAUGAGAGAGGCUUAUAAUAUACAUGAAGAGAGAAAAUAUUCACAUCCUAAAAAUCACUAAUGAACAUUGAUCAGGAAUAUCUGUUCCAAUACCUCAAAUAUAUUUUUGGCAUGUACUUAAAUUGCAUAUUUUUCUUUUUAAAAUUUUUAAUGUAAUAAAUUAUACUAAUAGAUUUCUUAAAAUUGGGAAAUGUUACUUUCUGGAAUAAACUUUGCUUAGUUAUAGAAUAUAACUAUUUUAACACAUUGCUAGAUUUAAUUUGUUAAUAUCUGGUUUCAGAUUUUAAUUAUAAGCAUUCUAGUUUUCUUAUUGGAAUAUGUUUGUCAGGUUUUGGCAUUAAUAUUAUGAUAGAACUGUAAAUUGAGUUGGGAAGGCUUCUAUUGUUGUUCCUUGACUUUAGAGACAACUCACCCACAAACAUCCUGAAUCUGGUACCAUUUUUAAUUGUAGAGCUUGUGUGUGUGUGUGUGUGUGUGUGUGUAUUUCAAAUUCUGCAGCUGUUGGGUUGUUUAGGUGUUCUACUUAUUUAGUUAAUUUGGGGAAUUUAUAUUUUGAUAGAACAUCAUUUGUUUCCUUUAGAUUUUAAAGUGUGUUGUCAUAAGAAAAGUGGUAGCGGGGAGGGGCUGAGAUGACUGACUAGAAGCAGUUGCCACCAGAGGCUCCCACUGAGAGAAUGAAAAUGGCCAAUGAAUCCUGCACCGGCAACUGAGGUAUCCAGAUUCUCUCAUUGGACUAGGCAGUGGGCGCGACCCUUGGAGAGUGAGGAAAAGCAGGGUGGAGCAAUGCCCCUCCCGGGAGCGCAGGGGAAGGGGAGCUCCCACCCCCAGCCAAGGGAGGGGGUGAGUGAUUGUGCUACCCCCCCCACAGGAAACCACAUUUUUUCCACAGAUCUGUGCAACCCACAGGUCAGGAUAUCCCCCCUGUGAGUCCAUGCCACCAGGGCCUUGGGUCCCAAGCACAGAGCUGUGAAGAUUCUUGGUGGCCACUUGACGGGAGGCUGCCUGAGACUACUGAGUUUCCAGUGGGAGGGUUGACCACUAUCACUGCGGUUUCCUGCUGCCUAAGGUGACUGAGCUCCUGGGGAAAGGGGAAGGAGCCAUCACUGCAGCUGCAGUCUGCCGUUUUUCCCCUGCCAGUGCUGGGGAGACUGGAUGAUUUGGACUCAGAAGGAAUUCCCCAUGGCACAGCACAGCAGCUAUGGCAGAUUGUGGCCAGACUGCUUCUCUAGGCUGGACCCUGACCUAUCCCUUCUUGCUGGGCAGGGCCUCCCUGUGGGAACUUCAGCAACUCCAACCAGGGGUUUACAGACAGAACUCUGAUCUGCCUGGGACAGAGCCCCAGGGAGGAGGGGCAGUCUCCACAGAUGAGCAAACUUAGUCUUUCCCCCUGCUGGCUCUGAGGAAUCCGGGCAGUCCUGAUGAGUGGGAUUCCCCACAGUGCAGUGCAUCCCCUCUGCCAAGGGGCAGCCAGAGUGCUUUGUUAAGGGGUUUCCUGAUCCUGUGCUUCCUGACUGGAUGAGACCACUCUCCCACUCCCUGCCCACCCACAGGGGUUGCCAGGCACCUUAUACAGGAGCAUUUCUGCUGGCAUCAGGUCAGUCCCCUUCUGGGACACAGCUCCCAAAGGAAGGAGCAGGCAGCCAUCUUCGCUGUUCUGCAGCCUCCAGGGGUGAUACCUCCAGGUAUGGGAGGGACCCAGGCAAACAGGGUCUGGAGUGGACCCCUAGCAAACUGCAGAAACCUUAUGGAAGAAGGGCCUGACUGUUAAAAGAAAAACAAACAAACAAGCAGAAAACAACAAUAAC